rnacentral:rRNA from 1 species
GAUGAACGCUGGCGGCGUGCCUAAUACAUGCAAGUCGAGCGAACAGACGAGGAGCUUGCUCCUCUGACGUUAGCGGCGGACGGGUGAGUAACACGUGGAUAACCUACCUAUAAGACUGGGAUAACUUCGGGAAACCGGAGCUAAUACCGGAUAAUAUAUUGAACCGCAUGGUUCAAUAGUGAAAGACGGUUUUGCUGUCACUUAUAGAUGGAUCCGCGCCGCAUUAGCUAGUUGGUAAGGUAACGGCCUACCAAGGCAACGAUGCGUAGCCGACCUGAGAGGGUGAUCGGCCACACUGGAACUGAGACACGGUCCAGACUCCUACGGGAGGCAGCAGUAGGGAAUCUUCCGCAAUGGGCGAAAGCCUGACGGAGCAACGCCGCGUGAGUGAUGAAGGUCUUCGGAUCGUAAAACUCUGUUAUUAGGGAAGAACAAAUGUGUAAGUAACUAUGCACGUCUUGACGGUACCCAAUCAGAAAGCCACGGCUAACUACGUG